UUGUUUUGGACUGCUGGAAUAAUUUGGCACUGAGAAAGGGGAAGCUCAACGCAGAUGUCCUGAUGAGAGAGGAUGGUCUGUGCAAUCUUAUGCACAUUUUCCUGGAUAAAUGUUGGAACUGAUAACAGACUUUGGCCAGAACGUUCAGAUCCACUAAUGCGACAAUCCUCGGCAUACAUACCUGGAAGUAAGCACUGCAUUGAACUCAAUAGGACUUAAUUCUGUCUUUGAGUAAACAUGCACAGAAUGCUUUUCCUAUGGCCUGCAUCACAUCCAUUGUGGCACUAAAACAGGGCUGCACAACUUCGGCCCUUCAACUGUUUUUGGACUACAAUUCCCAAAAUCCCCAACCACAGUGGCCAAUAAGUAUGAUGGAAGUUUCAGUAGAACAUCUGCAGAAGGGCUGGAAUUUGUUCAUCUCUGAAAUUUUGUGGAUUUUCACUUCUCACUAUGAAGUAUGUAAACAGAGGGGAAGGAGAGAUAGCCUGUAUUAGUAGUACACAGAUGCAAGACUAUAUGAGAGAGAGAGAGAGAGAGAGAGAGAGAGAGAGAGAGAGAGAGAGAGAGAGAGAGAGAGAGAGAGAGAACGCCUCUGUAGAACCACUGGUAUGCAUGCACAUGAUGUUCUGAAAAAGAACGGAAGGAAAGAUGACUGCAACAUUUAUCCUGAUUUGCUGUGAUGGGGAUUGGUUCAUCCACAGGCUAUCCUGAUCUUCCCCCAUCCAAAGUGACUUCAGAGGAGAGAACAAAGCUCCUUGGGAAAGAAUGGGCCUCUACACUGUCGCUUGGCAGUCAGAUUCCAUUUAUUUAAGCUGACAGCAAAAUGGGCUUGUAUAAAAUUACAGAAGAGAAGAUGCAAAAGAAGGUUUUCCAGAAAGUUCAGCCACCAGAGUCAGAUCUGUCUAUUUGGAAAAGGCUGAUCCCCAUCAUCCUUUAUGCUCUUUGAUGACUUACCUAGAAGCGACACAGAAGAGGCUGACAGAGAUUGGAGAAUACUCUAAGGGACAGUGGAUGCUCCCCCCCAAAUACUUCCUGCUCGCCCUUUCACUCCCACAUCCAUCAGACUAGAACUUUACAACAAAGUGUCAGACAAUACAGUCACAGUAUAUCAUGGUCCUAUAACUUGAAUUAAUUAUUUCAAAUGCUC